GAUAGCAUAUCAAUAAGCGGAGGAAAAGAAACCAACAGGGAUUGCCCUAGUAACGGCGAGUGAAGCGGCAACAGCUCAAAUUGAAAGCUGGCUCCGGCCCGCAUUGUAAUUUGCAGAGGAUGCUUCUGGUGAGGUGCCUUCCGAGUUCCCUGGAACGGGACGCCAUAGAGGGUGAGAGCCCCGUAUGGAUGGACACCAAACCUGUGUGAAGCUCCUUCAACGAGUCGAGUAGUUUGGGAAUGCUGCUCUAAAUGGGAGGUAAAUCUCUUCUAAAGCUAAAUACCGGCCAGAGACCGAUAGCGCACAAGUAGAGUGAUCGAAAGAUGAAAAGCACCUUGAAAAGGGGGUUAAACAGUACGUGAAAUUGUUGAAAGGGAAGCGCUUGUGACCAGACUUGCGCCGGGCAGCUCAUCAGGGGUUCUCCCCUGUGCACUCUGCCCGGCUCAGGCCAGCAUCGGUUCUCGUGGGAGGAUAAGAACGGUAGGAACGUGGCCCCCUUCCGGGGGGGUGUUAUAGCCUACCGUACGAUACUCCCGUGGGGACCGAGGUUCGCGCUCCGCAAGGAUGCUGGCGUAAUGGUCAUCAGCGACCCGUCUUGAAACACGGACCAAGGAGUCGUCCAUUAGAGCGAGCGUUUGGGUGUAAAACCCGCACGCGUAAUGAAAGUGAACGCAGGUGAGAGCUUCGGCGCAUCAUCGACCGAUCCUGAUGUCUUCGGAUGGAUUUGAGUAAGAGUUUUAACGGACGGACCCGAAAGACAGUGAACUAUGCUUGUAUAGGGUGAAGCCAGAGGAAACUCUGGUGGAGGCUCGCAGCGGUUCUGACGUGCAAAUCGAUCGUCAAAUAUGAGCAUGGGGGCGAAAGACUAAUCGAACUU
rnacentral:rRNA from 1 species